rnacentral:rRNA from 1 species
GGACCCGCACAAGUAGUGGAGCAUGUGGUUUAAUUCGAAGAUACGCGCAGAACCUUACCAACACUUGACAUGUUCGUCGCGACUUUAAGAGAUUAAAGUUUUCGGUUCGGCCGGACGAAACACAGGUGCUGCAUGGCUGUCGUCAGCUCGUGUCGUGAGAUGUUGGGUUAAGUCCCGCAACGAGCGCAACCCUCACUUUUAGUUGCCAUCAUUAAGUUGGGCACUCUGAAAGAACUGCCAGUGAUAAGCUGGAGGAAGGUGGGGAUGACGUCAAGUCCUCAUGGCCCUUACGUGUUGGGCUACACACGUGCUACAAUGGUAUCUACAACAGGAAGCAAGACUGCGAAGUUAAGCAAAUCCCUAAAAGAUACCUCAGUUCGGAUUGCACUCUGCAACUCGAGUGCAUGAAGCUGGAAUUACUAGUAAUCGUGGAUC